rnacentral:rRNA from 1 species
GAUGAACGCUGGCGGCGUGCCUAAUACAUGCAAGUCGAGCGAACGGACGAGAAGCUUGCUUCUCUGAUGUUAGCGGCGGACGGGUGAGUAACACGUGGAUAACCUACCUAUAAGACUGGGAUAACUUCGGGAAACCGGAGCUAAUACCGGAUAAUAUUUUGAACCGCAUGGUUCAAAAGUGAAAGACGGUCUUGCUGUCACUUAUAGAUGGAUCCGCGCUGCAUUAGCUAGUUGGUAAGGUAACGGCUUACCAAGGCAACGAUGCAUAGCCGACCUGAGAGGGUGAUCGGCCACACUGGAACUGAGACACGGUCCAGACUCCUACGGGAGGCCGCAGUAGGGAAUCUUCCGCAAUGGGCGAAAGCCUGACGGAGCAACGCCGCGUGAGUGAUGAAGGUCUUCGGAUCGUAAAACUCUGUUAUUAGGGAAGAACAUAUGUGUAAGUAACUGUGCACAUCUUGACGGUACCUAGUCAGAAAGCCACGGCUAACUACGUG